rnacentral:lncRNA from 1 species
UGUUGGUGUGUAAUAUCCAACUUCUGGUGUGUAAUAUCCAGAGACUAAGGGCUCUAGUUUGGUGUGUCAUAUCCAAUCUAUUACCUAGGAGUAUCAAGGAGCCUUUCCGCAGCCUCUUGUGUCACCAUUCGAUCCACAUACCUUGAGAAACUUGAGUCUUUUGAUUCGUUUCUGCAAGGAUUAUCCCAUCUGUUCCAGAGCAUCAUCCUAGGAUUUCAUCAAGUGGUAUCAGAG